rnacentral:rRNA from 1 species
GACGAACGCUGGCGGCGUGCCUAACACAUGCAAGUGGAGCGACGAACCAGGCUUCGGCCUGGGGCAAAGCCGCGAACGGGUGAGUAACACGUGGGUAACCUGCCCUGAUGAUUGGGACAACCCGAGGAAACUCGGGCUAAUACCAAAUGUGCCCUUCGGCCAUAAGGCCGCCGGGGAAAGGAAGCUUCGGCCUCCGCAUCUGGAUGGGCCCGCGGCCCAUUAGCUUGUUGGUGAGGUAACGGCUCACCAAGGCGACGAUGGGUAGCUGGUCUGAGAGGACGAUCAGCCACACUGGGACUGAGACACGGCCCAGACUCCUACGGGAGGCAGCAGUGGGGAAUCUUGCGCAAUGCGCGAAAGCGUGACGCAGCAACGCCGCGUGGGGAAGAAGGCCU